GAGAUUGGGCUUGACAUCCCACGAACCUGGACUUCCGCAAGGACGCCUGUAGAGGUGCUGCAUGGCUGUCGUCAGCUCGUGUCGUGAGAUGUUGGGUUAAGUCCCGCAACGAGCGCAACCCUCGUUCGCUGUUGCCAUCAGGUCAAGCUGGGCACUCUGCGGAGACUGCCGGUGACAAACCGGAGGAAGGUGGGGAUGACGUCAAGUCAGCAUGGCCUUUAUGUCCGGGGCUACACACGUGCUACAAUGGCCGGUACAAACCGUCGCGAUCCCGCAAGGGGGAGCUAAUCGGAGAAAGCCGGUCUCAGUUCGGAUCGUAGGCUGCAACUCGCCUGCGUGAAGUCGGAAUCGCUAGUAAUCGCGGAUCAGCACGCCGCGGUGGAUACGUUCCCGGGCCUUGUACACACCGCCCGUCACAUCACGAAAGCUGCCUGUACUCGAAGUCGCUGAGA
rnacentral:rRNA from 1 species